AUGGCCUGGGCUCUGCUCCUCCUCAGCCUCCUCUCUCAGGGCGCAGGGUCCUGGGCCCAGGCGGCCCUCACUCAGCCUCCCUCCAUGUCCGGGAACCCGGGACAGUCAGUCACCAUCUCCUGUGCUGGAAGCAGCAAUGACAUCGGGAGUUAUAACCUUGUGUCCUGGUACCAACAGCGCCCGGGCACGGCCCCCAAACUCCUGAUUUAUGGUGUCAGCAAUCGGCCCUCGGGGAUCCCUGAGCGCUUCUCUGGCUCCAAGUCUGGCAACACGGCCACCCUGACCAUCUCUGGGCUGCAGGCUGAGGACGAGGCUGACUAUUACUGCUGCUCAUAUACCAGCAGUGGCACUCUGCACAGUGGUGCAGGCUCAUGGGGAAGUGAGACCAAAACCUCCUUGAACUCCCUCAAGUCCCUUCACUCCUCAACUCAGGCUUUCAACGCUUUCAUUUCCCGGAAGCAGUCCCUCAUUCAUUAG